GUGCAGGGCGGCGUGCUACCAUGCAGUCGAACGAUGAAGCCCAGCUUGCUGGGUGGAUUAGUGGCGAACGGGUGAGUAACACGUGAGCAACCUGCCCCUGACUCUGGGAUAACAGCCGGAAACGGUUGCUAAUACCGGAUAUGCAUCAUGGCCGCAUGGUCUGUGGUGGGAAAGAUUUUUCGGUUGGGGAUGGGCUCGCGGCCUAUCAGCUUGUUGGUGAGGUAGUGGCUCACCAAGGCGUCGACGGGUAGCCGGCCUGAGAGGGUGACCGGCCACACUGGGACUGAGACACGGCCCAGACUCCUACGGGAGGCAGCAGUGGGGAAUAUUGCACAAUGGGCGGAAGCCUGAUGCAGCAACGCCGCGUGAGGGAUGACGGCCUUCGGGUUGUAAACCUCUUUUAGCAGGGAAGAAGCGAAAGUGACGGUACCUGCAGAAAAAGCGCCGGCUAACUACGUGCCAGCAGCCGCGGUAAUACGUAGGGCGCAAGCGUUAUCCGGAAUUAUUGGGCGUAAAGAGCUCGUAGGCGGUUUGUCGCGUCUGCUGUGAAAACCCGAGGCUCAACCUCGGGCCUGCAGUGGGUACGGGCAGACUAGAGUGCGGUAGGGGAGAUUGGAAUUCCUGGUGUAGCGGUGGAAUGCGCAGAUAUCAGGAGGAACACCGAUGGCGAAGGCAGAUCUCUGGGCCGUUACUGACGCUGAGGAGCGAAAGGGUGGGGAGCAAACAGGCUUAGAUACCCUGGUAGUCCACCCCGUAAACGUUGGGAACUAGUUGUGGGGGCCUUUCCACGGUCUCCGUGACGCAGCUAACGCAUUAAGUUCCCCGCCUGGGGAGUACGGCCGCAAGGCUAAAACUCAAAGGAAUUGACGGGGACCCGCACAAGCGGCGGAGCAUGCGGAUUAAUUCGAUGCAACGCGAAGAACCUUACCAAGGGCUUGACAUACACCGGGAAACGUCUGGGAAACAGUCGCCCCUUUUUGGGUCGGUGUACAGGUGGUGCAUGAUUGUCGUCAGCUCGUGUCGUGAGAUGUUGGGUUAGUCCCGCACGAGCGCACCCUCGUCUAUGUGCAGCACGUUAUGGUGGACUCAUGGGAUACUGGCGGGGUCACUCGAGAGGUGGGAUGACGUCAAUCAUCA
rnacentral:rRNA from 1 species